ACAACGAUUCUAGUUAGGAGAAAGGCCUAGAGCUCAGGGUACUCAAUCCCAGGGGAGUGUGACUCAUCCUUUUAGGUCACACCUCCGCUGUGACAAUUAUGGAAAGAAUCACCCAGGGAGGUUCUUGUUUAGUGGUAAAGUAUGCUAUGCGUAUGGUCGGCCUGGCCAUUUUUAGAGGGACUGCCCCUUAUCUAGAGGGUAUGUUAGAGGUAUAAAGUCCCAGGAAAAUUCCA
rnacentral:lncRNA from 1 species